AUGCCGCGUGCCACCCCGCCGCACCUCGUCGGCGCCUCGGUGCCCACUGCCAUUGCCGGACCUCCCGCGCCUCUCCCUCGUGGGAUCGACCGUGCCGCUCGACCCCCCUGCGAACCAUCGCCGGACGCCAUCGCCGCGGUCCUCUCCAUCACCGGCGCUCCCCGUCCCCGUCGCCGAUGCCACCUCGCCGGACUGCUUCCCCUGCGUCGCCGUCAUCCCCGACCUCCUCCCCGCGCCCCACUGCCAUAUCCCUACGGCCCCCCACGUUGGAGCCCAAGAUCCAGACGCCACCGUCGAUGA
rnacentral:rRNA from 1 species